rfam:Physcomitrella patens subsp. patens PHYPAscaffold_11893 genomic scaffold, whole genome shotgun sequence.
GUUCGCUGCCGCAUAGGCAGCUCAGAAA